AGGAUUUUCAAUUUCAAACCUUGUUGUGUCGGAGAGAUAUGGAAUUCAACAGAAGGCAAAUGUAUACUGUGUCAGUCGGAACAUUUUGGAGAAAACUGCACUUUAUUGUGCAGAGUCCCGGAAUAUGGAUAUAGAUGUUCAUCAGGAAAAUGUGCAUGCAACCGUGUCUCCUGUAAGAUAACAAUACCUAGAGAAUGUUUAACAUCGGAUGUCUCGAAGAACGCUUCCGAAAGAAGUGCAUUUAAACCAUAUCCAAGUUAUAUGACGCAAAAGAUACCAAAUGCUACUCUAUCAAAGAAUCAAACAAGCCCUGAUAAGGAGACUAAUAUACCUUAUGUAAUUAUACUAAGUAUAUGUGGUGUGAUAUUCUUCUGUGCUGUCAUUGUUGAAUGUGCCAUUGUCGUGCGAAAAAAGAUUUGCCAAAGAGAUUUAGAAAAUGAUCAGCAAAUCUUUGAACCUGUGUACAGUGUCAUCACAAUUCGAAAUGAA